GCCGGAGUGGCGGAAUGGCAGACGCAGAGGACUCAAAAUCCUCCGAGGUCACACUCGUGUGGGUUCGAAUCCCACCUCCGGCACCA
rnacentral:tRNA from 1 species